rnacentral:misc_RNA from 1 species
AAGUCGUAACAAGGUAACCGUAGGUGAACCUGCGGAAGGAUCAUUAACGAAUUUGCGACUGAAAAGUCACUGAUUCCACACUGUGUUUUAAGUGUUUUUUUCGGUAAAAGAAGAGAACACGAAAACUGUUCAUAUCACACAUAUGACAAAAUAAAAAAAGCAAAAAAUCAAAACUUUCAACAACGGAUCUCUUGGUUCUG